ACGACGUCUCUGCCCUCUCGCGACCACGCCUGCAGUUAUGGCCACCACCCCACACCUCGCCCCACCUCUUUCCCAGAUCCUCCCCGCCAGCCACCACCCUCGACCUGUGCCUCCGUCGCCGGACCGCCGCGCCCCCGCUCCAGGCGCUCGGGCCGCCCCGUCCACGCGCUGCCCGGGCCGCCGCGCCCUCCCUGCCUUUCCUCACGCUUCCUCCCCCCGCCGCCGCCGCUCCCUCUUCCGCGGGUCGCCGUGCUCCCUCUCUGUAGCCACGGCCACUCGCUCCACCAGACGCUCGAUGCCCAUGUGGCGCUGCUGUCGCACGCAGCGACAAAGGGUUCCACGGCGGAGACAUGGAAGAAGGAUGACGGGGGUGGGGCCAUUGCCAUAGAUGAGCGCAGCCCCGAGCAGAUCCGAUUAGGAUCCUUCUCUCCAUCUCACUCUCUUUGUGCCUUCUCCCCUCUCUGCUCUCCCGUCUCUCUCAAUCUGCAGCAAGGUGUCGCGGGCUCGCGGCUGUGACGCCGGCGGCGGUAGAAACCACCACACCCUCUGCAUCCAAUUUCUCUUUCUAACGUCUCUGUGCAUCAGCAGGUUUUAGUAGACGAUCCAGAUUGAGAAGGUCACAUGAGUUUGCCAGCAGCACCCAUCUGUGUAUGCUCAAUUACCUAUCAGUAAAGAUAUACAUAUCAUUUGGUGGAAUAUGUAAGUAGACCUUCUGUGUAUGCUCGAUUACCUCUUGUAUUGAAUUUUCUGAAAUUUUGGAUCGAUCAACAUGUGAUCAGUGGUCAGAUGUAAAACUUAGCCUUACUAUCAGGUUGCAUGUAAGAGGUACAAUUACUUGAUUAUCAAUGCGUACUUUUCAGAAGCUUCACUAACAAGUGCAAAUAUGUAGUCUGGAACCAUCCCUGAAAAAUUAUUGGUAGCCCAGGUUUAGAAGCAUUUAAAUAUCUUUUCCAAUUGUUGUAAACUCACCAAAGCUUAGGAGCGGAACUCCCUUACAUGGAAGCAUCCUUGCCGAUGAAAGAACACUAUGUUGAAAUAUUUACCUACUAACUAUCAUACUAAGAAAACCCGCCAUUGAUUAGUUCUUAGAUUCUGGAAGGGCCUAUUUGGAUUAUUUAAGAACAAUGCUUCAUACUAAGAAAUUAGGCCGUUCAUAAGUUAUUAUCUCCUGGAAGGAUUUAUUUGAUUGAUAUAAGAUAAAAAAAUUGCAAGCACCCAAUACUUGUUUUCCCUUAAUUAUUGUACAGACUGCUAAUUCCAGAUUUGAAUAUCCUCCCAGCUGAGGAGCAAUCGUAUCACAAGGAUGCACAUGCAGAACAAGCCCGGUUGUCAAAGGGCUUGGGAAUGACACUAAUAAAGUGGAUGGGCAAGCUCAAACCAACGAGGUUACGAUGUGAUUAAUUUCUUAGAAGUUCAUAUAUGUUCUGCUUCGUGUCAUCUUUAGUGCUUCAAGGGCAAACGGCUAGAUUCAAUUUGGAGCGUCGCGGGAAGGAGCAGGCAGCAGCGGCAAUACACUGAGGGUGGAGCAGCAGAGUCACCUGAUCUACCAGUAUGUCUGAUUGAUGCUGCCCACUGCUCCAUCAGCUUGCAUCCAGCAUCUCUAAAUUAGCAUUAUGUCAGGUUCUCGAUAUAUUUGCAAUGGAUUAAACAAUGGGCCUCUCUUGAUUCACACAUGUUCACAUUUCAAGCUAUUUGAUGGUAAAUCUUGAAUUUUAUUUUCUUAUAUUUUUUUAGCGGAUUAAUUAGAACUGAUUUGGUUUCUGAUUUGUUUGGGCGAGUGCAACAGCUUGCGAAGCUUUACCACUAAUCCACAGUCACUAUGUAACAAUUAAAAGGCAGGUCUGGAAACACAUGCUAAUAUAAGGCUUGAAUUGCACAUGUAUUGUCUUAUUAAUCAUGCACAUUUUGGAGCAUGAUUAUUUUCAAAUGGUUUGUCUAACAAUACUGAGGAGACCUGCAUGUCUGUCAACAUUCUUAAUAUGGAACCAUUAGAUGAUGGAUGACCAUUUUUUGCAAUAUCCGACUGACUAAUUGUACAAUUGAUAAGACAAGGGUUCGACUUACUUCCCUCUGCAAACAUCUUCUUUGCUCAAGUAAUUCAAGGUAUGUUUCAUUGCUCAUUUAGGAUGGCUGCUGAACCUCUUUGUGAACCAAGGAAGAAGUUCUCUAUACAAAAAUAACUUAGUUCUACAUUGAAAUUUUCACAUAUGGAUAAUUCAGUAACAAAAAAAUUUGAUUAAUCGAGUUGGGAGAUGUCACACAACACCAUUUGCUCAUAAUUGUUAUCUAUUUGAUCCUCGUGGCAGUCCUAUAUGUCAUGAAUAAUUGAGUCAUAUGUUGAUGCAUAUAUAGUUUGACUGUGCACUUGCACGUGUGCAACGUUCCAAAAGGAUAAUUCAUAACCUAGCAAUUUUAGAUAUCUAUGAACUUCAGUAUGUGCCAUCACGGUCUCAACAGGAUAUGGUACUCUGUUUUGAUUUUUUAUCAAAACCUAAUUAUCAAUUUAUAUAUGUGCGUACAAUCUUUAACCAUUAUAGCUGACGAUCUUUAACGUGUUUCAUCAUCUGUAGGCUGUGCAAUGUGAGAUAAUCAUGUAUGGUGUUACCGAAUGGGCUGGAAAGUUUCUAAAUUAUGAGCUCUGCAUGAUUAAGUGGCGCCGGGACCUGUACUUCAUUUAAUGCAGAGCAAGAAAGGAACAUCAAAGAAGCUGUUAAAAUGGAUGGGAGAAUUUGCUAAAACAUGUUUACCUAUUUUUUUAAAGAUUAAGUGUAUUCUAGAAAGAAAAUAAUUGUAUGUUUCAUGGAGUAACAAAUCAGGAACUGUGCAGGUAUGUGUUCAUCUUGAUGGGAGUUUGUCCGAGAUGCUGGGCGAGGGGAUUGUUUCCGCACUGCAUGUAUCCAAGUGUUUAGGGAUGCCUUUUGCGAACAAAUUUAGUUUUUUUUUGAGCGAGGAAAUUGAUACUUUUUUUGUGAAUGUAUUCGAGUGGGUGAAAUACUCCCCAUUUGUCUCGAGAGGUCCAGGUGUGGAAGCUUAGCACUGGGUUUGUCAUUAUUGAGGCAAGAAUAGUUUGAAUAUGCACACUUUCAUUAUGUACUUGCAGUGCGUAAUGCAUCAUGUGUAGAAAAAGAUAGUUAUAUUUGUAUAGAGUAAAUUACAAUGUUUGAGGUAUUUGAAUAAAAAAUACUUUGUUGUUUCAUGA